AUUGAACGCUGGCGGCAGGCCUAACACAUGCAAGUCGAACGAGUGGCGGACGGGUGAGUAAUGUCUGGGAAACUGCCUGAUGGAGGGGGAUAACUACUGGAAACGGUAGCUAAUACCGCAUACCAUCAGAUGUGCCCAGAUGGGAUUAGCUAGUUGGUGGGGUGACGGCUCACCAAGGCGACGAUCCCUAGCUGGUCUGAGCGGAUGACCAGCCAUACGGGAAUCGAGACACGUUCCAGACUCCUCCGGGAGGCAGCAGUGGGGAAUAUUGCACAAUGGGCGCAAGCCGGAUGCAGCCAUGCCGCGUGUAUGAUGAAGGCCUUCGGGUUGUAAAGUACUUUCAGCGGGGAGGCGUUACCCGCAGAAGAAGCACCGGCUAACUCCGUGCCAGCAGCCGCGGUAAUUC
rnacentral:rRNA from 1 species